rnacentral:rRNA from 1 species
AGAACGAACGCUGGCGGCAUGCCUAACACAUGCAAGUCGAACGAAGCCUUCGGGCUUAGUGGCGCACGGGUGCGUAACACGUGGGAAUCUGCCCUUAGGUACGGAAUAACUCAGGGAAACUUGAGCUAAUACCGUAUGAUGUCUUCGGACCAAAGAUUUAUCGCCUAAGGAUGAGCCCGCGUCGGAUUAGCUAGUUGGUGGGUAAAGGCCUACCAAGGCGACGAUCCGUAGCUGGUCUGAGAGGAUGAUCAGCCACACUGGGGCUGAGACACGGCCCAGACUCCUACGGGAGGCAGCAGUGGGGAAUAUUGGACAAUGGGCGAAAGCCUGAUUCAGCAAUGCCGCGUGCAGGAAGAAGGCCUUCGGUUGUAACUGCUUUGUACGGACGAAACGGUCU